GGGGAUAUGGCGAAAUCGGUAGACGCUACGGACUUAAAAUCCGUCG
rnacentral:tRNA from 1 species